CACGACUUCUGAUUUUAAGGAAAUUGAAGAAACUCAAAUAGACAUGAUGAACUAUUAUGUUUUCGUCUUUUCACUCAACUCACUUGCAGGAUCAGAGAUAUGCUUCUUAUGCAUUAGGUAAUGAGAAAGCUAUCAUUUAUUCUGAGUGGUGGGAAGUCGAUAAAGUUAAUAUUUAUUUUUGCAUAUUUAAAGGUGUUCAUCAAAUUUAGUUGAUGUGCGCAGUUAAAGUAUUAUUUAUUUAAUAUUGCAUGUGUUUAUCCCUGUUAUGAAACGUCAUUGGUUUCUCGUCGAGCUUCAGCUCCCAUAACUGAAGACGGUAGUAUAUGAAACCUGUUUGAAUUACAUACUAUUGUCUGCUUUGAAAGAUAUUAUUUGUAGGGGAUGGACUGAUCUUUUGCGUAAAUACUUGGAUGCGAUUAUUUAUUGGAUUAAUUCAGGAAACGAGAAGCCGAAUAAGUUAAUUGUUACAAUGAUGAGAGACGAGACAACGCCACAACAAGCGUCAAUAGUCAGAGGGGAUUGUGGUCCGUUUGUAUGCAUGUGCAUGGAAUGUAUGACGAGAGGAGGCAAACCGUUUCUACCUCUGAGAGAUAGAGAUAGAGGUGUAGUAGGUUGUGAUUUCGGUAUUUUAUGACUAGAGAGAUAUAUGCGAGACGUUGCCUACAUGCAUCAAGUGCUUAAUAUAUAACAACAAUUGUGGUUUGUUUGGGAAGCUUGCCAAGAUCUUACUUUGAUGAUUUUGGUGGUAGCUGUUGUGGCUUCUCUGGCUUUGGGUAUAAAGGCAGAGGUGAGGCUUCAUAAAUAAGACUUUCCAACUUUCAUCUUGACAUAGGUUCACAAGGAUUUUUUGAAAUCAUAAACAAUCUCUUCAGUUCCAAAAACUAGAUGAAGAAAUGAGAAACAUACACUUGGAGGUUGGUAUCCACUUUACCAUUGAAUUGAGUAUGAACAAUAUGCUUCUAGAAUUUAUGCUUGAAUGCAACAUGUCAGGUUGUUAGAGGAGGUAGAAGAGUUGAAAUUUCAAUAUACGAUAUUGUUGGUGAUGUUGUACCCCUCAAUAUUGGUGAUCAUGUCCCUGCUGAUGGAAUUUUAAUCUUCGGUCAUUCACUUGCACUAGAUGAAUCUAGCAUGACAUGAGAGAGUGAUAUUGUUCACAAGGAUGCCAAACGACAUUUUCUAAUGUCUGGCUGCAAAGUAACGUAUGGAAAUGGGACUAUACUGGGGUUGGGAUUAAUACUGAGUGGGGUUUGCUCAUGUCUAAUCUUUCAGAAGACAUGGUAAAGAACUCCCUUGUACGAUUGAAUGGGGUUGCGACUUUCAUUGGUUUUGUUGGACUCAAUGUUGCUUUUGUUGUUUUGGUUGUCCUUUUAGUUAGGUACUUCACCGACCAUACCGAAGACCCAAAUGAAAGAAAAGAGUUUGUUGCAGGCAAACAAGUGUCGUCGUGCUGUAGAUGGAGCCAUUAAGAUUGUCACUGUUGCAGUAUGUGCUCCUUAUCUAUCACCCUUUGUCCAAUUGAUUGUCUUAUGUGCACGCUUAAGGGGAUAUUUGUUUUCUUAUGUCUUGACAUUUUGAACUUUAUAAGCCACCUUAACGGGUCCAAAUCGAGAUGCAAUGGAACUAAGAGCUAUUUCUUUCUUGAAUUCAAGAGGUGAAAACUCAUGUUGAAAACCCAGAUUUGUAUUUGUUAAUAAAUGUAAA